UCAGUAUCAACAAUGUAACAGACAACUUGGUGAUUGCGGUCACAUUCGACAGUGCGUCGAAGUUUUCCAACAAUACUUACUACAAGUAUUAUCUUAGAGGCAGGGAGCCUGUGGUUACCAGGGACUUUGGAGGAAUACAAUAUGGAGUGCUGACUGUAACUGUAAUAAUACCCCAUAUACACAAUCUAAGACUGGAUAGAUCUGAAAUAUAUACGUACGGAGACACCAACGUUUUCCCUUUUGCUCUUGGACCCCAGAUUGGAACAAGUACAGAUCCUGAAGUGACAUCCAUGUAUGCCCGUUUCUACACUAACAUUCCAGCGGAGUACCAAGAAGAGAUAUCCAAUCAAGGAAAUUACUUCGUCGGAAACUACUUACAA